AGCGAACGCUGCCGGCAGGCUUAACACAUGCAAGUCGAGCGGGCAUAGCAAUAUGUCAGCGGCAGACGGGUGAGUAACGCGUGGGAACGUACCUUUUGGUUCGGAACAACACAGGGAAACUUGUGCUAAUACCGGAUAAGCCCUUACGGGGAAAGAUUUAUCGCCGAAAGAUCGGCCCGCGUCUGAUUAGCUAGUUGGUGAGGUAAUGGCUCACCAAGGCGACGAUCAGUAGCUGGUCUGAGAGGAUGAUCAGCCACAUUGGGACUGAGACACGGCCCAAACUCCUACGGGAGGCAGCAGUGGGGAAUAUUGGACAAUGGGCGCAAGCCUGAUCCAGCCAUGCCGCGUGAGUGAUGAAGGCCCUAGGGUUGUAAAGCUCUUUUGUGCGGGAAGAUAAUGACGGUACCGCAAGAAUAAGCCCCGGCUAACUUCGUG
rnacentral:rRNA from 1 species